CUCUCUGCCAGCGCCCGGUGACUGCGGACGGAUGAAUAGACGCUGCGGGUCACUGCGCUCUCCCCUGGGUAGAACAGAUGGUUUGAAAAGGAAAGAUUUUUUUUUCACAUAUGGGGAAAAAAAAUUCCCAGCCUUGGAAGGAUAUUUGGGUUAGAGGCCGAAGUGCAUCACAGAUCACGCACGCGUCCACACCUCAGAAAACACUCACUCAUUCCUGAGACGCAACGGUGAGUGAAGGCUUAUUUUUGGCCACAGGAGAUUAAUAAUGAAGACAGGAGGGCGGAGCUAAAGGAGAGGGUAUUUUAACGACAUUAACUGUGUUUUUGUGUUAGUAACUCGGAAAGAGAGAGGCUGCCCCAAGUCAGCGCAUUGAAAGCCGCAGACCUAGUGUCUCCAGGCUCCCCCUUCCAAACGGGCGCGGACCUUCUUUCAUAGCCUGUAGCGGGGAGCCGCGUCUCCCCACUGCCUCCCCACUCCCAUCCGGCCGCUCUUUGGAGGGAACUCACACAUCCCAACAUGACGAUGCUUGCUCGGGGGGCCUCCUGGGGGGACCAGGGAGCCACUUCCUUUCCCACAUACUCCGGAAAUUAAAGUUGGUCUCCUUAAGGCUGGAGUGGCAAAUAGUUGUUUUAAGCUUGUCACAAAUGUAACUUACAUUUGGACUAAUGUUUUAAAAAAUAAUUGGAGUUUUGAAUCUACGAAGAUACCUUGGAAGUAAACAUAGUUAUUAUUUUGGUGGGAAAAAAAUGAAUGGACUUGAAAGUGAGUCACCUGUCCUGUUCCCGGGGCUCAGCUCUAGCAAAGUACCUUUCUCCAUCUACAGUCUCCGGCACACAGCUCCGCAGCUGGGGGUGACUAAGAGCCCACACCACGCAAGUAAUAAAACGCUCCAAUUUCAUUUAUUUAAUCAUCUGUGUGCUUCAUUUGACAAAUAUUUAUGGAGUGUCUGCUGCUAGCUCAGUGCCUGGUGCCUGGGACUGAAGACCAGAGCCCCCUGGAGACCAAAAGAGCCAGCUCCCAGCUGUGAGCAGAUCGGGUCCAAAGAUCACGGGCUCGGCGGCAGGAACCUGGUUUGGUAUCCGGCUCCUCUGCGGACUUUGAAGUGCUUUACCGAUUCACAUGACAACUGGUAAAACGAAAACAAACACCUUUCCAGGAAUUGUGAAUUCGAGUUCCAGACCCUCUGGGAUUCCGGGAGCGCAGCUGCUAUUUAUGUUAACAGUCAUUGGUCCCAGGCUGGUGAGGUUAGAAUUUCCAAGUAUAAAAGUAAUUUAGUUUCGUUUUAAAUACAUUUUAGGGCCAAAGAAAAGUGGAACGAUUUAAAGAAAAAGAUGAAAUGAAUAAUAGGGCAAGUUGGGAGGUGGCUGUCCUGAGGUUUCAUGGGACAACAUUAAUUAACCUCAUGAAGUGCCUGCAUGGACAACGUGCCCGGUGUGGUUACAAACAAACCAAUCAGCACAGAUCCUGGGUGGAAAGCAGGGCGCAGCCACGGAGGCACAGUAGGGGUGCAGACUUGAAGGUUUUUAGGAGGUAAGCCCCGAGGGCACGAAGCUCCACGGAGAGACUGUUGACCCGCCUGGGAGUGCAGUGCAGGUGAGGAGGGGAGGGACGACGAGGGGAGACAAUGGGGGGUGGGAGGUGGGAAGGAGGAGUUGGGGAAGGGGGCUGUCUGCUGACAUUUGCAAGCCCCCACUCCCCCACUACCCUGUGUUCCUCCUGGCCCCUUCCCCAGAAGAAUUCCAAGCCAGUUUCCUCCUAUACUGGAUGUCCUGACAGCGAAUCUAAAUAGGUGAUCCCUUGAGCUCCAGGUCCCCAAGCUGUGCCCUUCUUCAUAGGGGGCCAUUUAGCACUGACCCACCCAGCAGGCAGCCCAAGGUCCCUGGUCUGGAAGUGCCAGGAAGCUGCCUUUAACAUCCUACCGCAGGGAACAAUGAAGGUUGCCGGCCAGGGAGAAGACAGGAUAGAGACGUCUCUGGGUUUGCAGCCAGCCUGCCUCAGAUGGGGUCCCAGGCUGUGACCAUGGUGCAUUUGCCUGUCCCUGACAUGUGGGAUAGAGGGACCUGCUUCGAGAUGUCGGUGGGGAUCCACGCAGAUGAUAAUUAUAUGUGUGUGGCACAUGCCAGGCCAUGGGUGAAUAGUGAGAUUUUCAAUUGAGUCAUUUUCGUCUUUGUCCUUCUCAGGGUCCUGGAGCAACUCAACCCUUGUAAGUGCAUGGCUCAGUGAGAUCGUGGAGCUGACAUAGGGCUGACCUGGCUCUCAGAGGCCCCAGAAUAAAGCUGGAGCCCCUGGGGUCCACCUGCUGGCAUGACCAUGGGACAGGGGCGUGGAGCUGAGCUGGGUCAGCCACCUGGGAACAUAGUCCCCUCCCGCCAGGCCUCUGCACCCAGCCUCCUCCCUGCUUAGUAGGCUCCUCCCUCCCCUACAACAGCCACUCCUGCCACCACUUGCAUGGUUGUUUUUGAGAAUUCCCUCCGCAUUGUGUUAUUUUCUAAAAGAACAUAACUUGUUCACUGCA
ensembl:lncRNA novel transcript